rnacentral:lncRNA from 1 species
GGUUCGGUCCACAACACCGCAAAAUAAUAGCGAGCCGUUUAUUUGAACACUUUUACAUACCUAGUAUCGACAUUGUCAAGACUACCCUGAAAGUACAGGAGAGAUAAAAGAGGCUCAAAGACCCGAGAGAAGAAAAUGGGCCCAAGGUCAUGGACCCACUAACUUCCCACAGGGACGUUUACCGCAAACCACUCCAAAACAGACUCCUAGAGCAAAGGACAAAGGCGGGAACACCCGCUCCGCGCGCACCCGCGCGAGCACUUCCGGGGGAAGUGCCGACACCACGGCGAGCUCGCGAGAUGUGCCGCAGCUGUCGCUCACUGGGCCAAGUCCCGCCCCGCGCCGGCGCGCCUCCGGGAAAGCCCCGCCCCUGGCCCUGGCUAGGCGGGAAGCGGGCGCGCGCUCCCUCCCGUUCCCCUCCGCCCGGGAGGGGGGAGAGGGCGCGGGCCGCGGGGACGCGCGUU